GUAGGCGGCUUAUUAAGCAAGGUGUGAAAUCGUACGGCUCAACCGUACACACAUACUUUGAACUGGUAAGCUAGAGUAUGGGAGAGGUUAUUGGAAUUCCAAGUGUAGGAGUGAAAUCCGUAGAUAUUUGGAGGAACACCGAUGGCGUAGGCAGAUAACUGGCCCAUUACUGACGCUCAGGCACGAAAGCGUGGGUAGCAAACGGGAUUAGAUACCCCGGUAGUCCACGCCCUAAACUAUGGAUGCUAGCUGUUGGUCGUAUCGACCCGAUCAGUAGCGAAGCUAACGCGUUAAGCAUCCCGCCUGUGGAGUACGGUCGCAAGACUAAAACAUAAAGGAAUUGACGGGGACCCGCACAAGCGGUGGAGUGUGUUGUUCAAUUCGAUGGUAAACGAAGAACCUUACCCAGGUUUGACAUCCUUGGAAUUUUGCCGAAAGGCGAGAGUGCUUUAUUGAGCCAAGUGACAGGUGUUGCAUGGCCGUCGUCAGCUCGUGUCGUGAGAUGUUUGGUUAAGUCCAUCAACGAGCGCAACCCUUAUAGUCUGUUGUAUUUUUCAGGCUAGACUGCCCCGGUAACGGGGAGGAAGGAGGGGAUGAUGUCAGGUCAGUAUUACCCUUACAUCUGGGGCUACAAACACGCUACAAUGGCCGGUACAAAGGGCAGCCAAGUCGCGAGACGGAGCAAAUCCCAUCAAAGCCGGUCCCAGUUCAGAUUGCAGGCUGAAACUCGCCUGCAUGAAGUCGGAGUCGCUAGUAACGGUAGGUCAGCUAUACUACCGUGAAUACGUUCCCGGGUCUUGUACACACCGCCCGUCAAACCAUGAAAGUCACCAAUACCUGACGUGUUGCCUUCGCGCAGCCCUGAGGUAGGGGGGAUGAUUGGGGUU
rnacentral:rRNA from 1 species